UACAGAGGUCUCAAGCGUUUGUUCGGGAUUCAUUGGGCGUAAAGGGUGCGUAGGCUGUGGGGUAAGUCUGGUGUGAAAUCCCGGGGCUCAACCCCGGAACUGCACUGGAUACUGCUUUACUAGAGCACUGGAGAGGGAACUGGAAUUUACGGUGUAGCAGUGAAAUGCGUAGAUAUCGUAAGGAAGACCAGUGGCGAAGGCGCUUCUGGUCUGUAACUGACACUGAGGUGCGAAAGCGUGGGGAGC
rnacentral:rRNA from 1 species